rnacentral:rRNA from 1 species
GGACCUGGAGCGAAUCUCAGAAAUAACGUCUCAGUUCGGAUUGUAGUCUGCAACUCGACUACAUGAAGCUGGAAUCGCUAGUAAUCGCGGAUCAGAAUGCCGCGGUGAAUACGUUCCCGGGUCUUGUACACACCGCCCGUCACACCAUGGGAGUCGGGAAUGCCCGAAGCCAGUGACCCAAGCGAGAGCAGGGAGCUGUCGAAGGCAGGCCGGACAACUGGGGUGAAGUCGUAACAAGGUAAC